CCUGUGAGGGUUGCUGGAGGUAUCAGAAGUGCGAAUGCUGACAUAAGUAACGAUAAAGCGGGUGAAAAGCCCGCUCGCCGGAAGACCAAGGGUUCCUGUCCAACGUUAAUCGGGGCAGGGUGAGUCGACCCCUAAGGCGAGGCCGAAAGGCGUAGUCGAUGGGAAACAGGUUAAUAUUCCUGUACUUGGUGUUACUGCGAAGGGGGGACGGAGAAGGCUAUGUUAGCCGGGCGACGGUUGUCCCG
rnacentral:rRNA from 1 species